GGAACAACAGUGAGAUACCCUCUCACACCAGUCAGAAUGGCUAUUAUUUAAAUGUCAAAAAGUAAUAGAUGCUGGCAAUAAAAUGUGGCAAAGAGAAG